rnacentral:rRNA from 1 species
GACAGAGGCCCCAAGCGUUAGGCGGAAUCACUGGGCUUAAAGCGUGUGUAGGCGGACGCCUAAGUGUCUUGUGAAAUCCCACGGCUCACCCGUGGAACUGCUGGGCAUACUGGGCGUCUUGGGCCAACUAGGGGCAGCCGGAACAAGCGGUGGAGCGGUGAAAUGCGUAGAUAUCGCGUGGAACGCCGAAGGUGAAAACAGGCUGCUGGGGUUGCGCCGACGCUGAGACACGAAAGCCAGGGGAGCAAACGGG